GACGAACGCUGGCGGCGUGCUUAACACAUGCAAGUCGAACGGAAAGGCCCUGCUUUUGUGGGGUGCUCGAGUGGCGAACGGGUGAGUAACACGUGAGUAACCUGCCCUUGACUUUGGGAUAACUUCAUGAAACUGGGGCUCAUACCGGAUAGGAGCUCCUGCUGCUUGGUGGGGGUUGGAAAGUUUCGGCGGUUGGGGAUGGACUCGCGGCUUAUCAGCUUGUUGGUGGGGUAGUGUCUUACCAAGGCUUUGACGGGUAGCCGUCCUGAGCGGGUGACCGGCCACAUUGGGACUAAGAUGAGGCACAGACUCGUACGGGAGGCAGCAGUGGGGAAGAGUGCACAAUGGGCGGAAGCAUGAUGCAGCAACGCCGCGUGCGGGAUGACGGCCUUCGGGUUGUAAAGCGCUUUCGCCUGUGACGAAGCGUGAGUGACGGUAAUGGGUAAAGAAGCACCGGCUAACUACGUG
rnacentral:rRNA from 1 species